GUUCGAAAGGGGAAAUUCAUUCGCGUUUCAGCUGUCGGAGUUGAACGUUCGCGUGACGGAUGACGUUCGCGUCGUCCGCGCCUUUCAUUCUUCUACCGGCGUUGAACGCGUGCACUUUUCCUCUAGUAGGACGUCGCGAUCCGUUGGGUGUCUGUCUAAGACUCGAGGUGGAGCCCGCGUGACAUUUGUCGCGCGGACCUUCGAUGUUCCGGCAGACUCGCUCGACGGUAUGCUAAUGGCGCGGGGCCGCUAUUCAGUUAGCGUUCGGCCCGUAGCAAGCACGUUCCGCGUUUGACGGUGAUCGGACCCGGUGCCGAUUCUGUCCCGGAACGACUGUUGGUUACGGUGUUCUCGAACAGACCUCG
rnacentral:rRNA from 1 species